rnacentral:rRNA from 1 species
UACGUAGGGAGCAAGCGUUGUCCGGAAUCAUUGGGCGUAAAGAGCGCGUAGGUGGCUUCAUAAGUCCGUUGUGAAAGUCAAAGGCUCAACCUUUGAAAGCCGAUGGAUACUGUGAAGCUAGAGUACGGAAGAGGCGAGUGGAAUUCCUGGUGUAGCGGCGGAAUGCGCAGAUAUCAGGAGGAACACCAAUAGCGAAGGCAGCUCGCUGGGACGUUACUGACACUGAGGCGCGAAAGCGUGGGGAGCGAACAGG